AUGGUGGGUCACAUUUCAUGUUUCUGUGCUCUUUCAUAUGAAGCAAUUUUUAAUUUAAAAUCUUAGGCUCUUGGAGUAUUCCACUGUUGUAUGGUUGAAUGAAAACUCUCAUUGACCUUGGGUAUAUUUAUUUAUUCUUGGUAUCAGACCUAGUAUAAGGAGGCACAAACCUGUUUGGUGUUCUUCUUUACUCACUCUGUACUUACUAAGCACCUACCUACCAUGUACAGGGUAACUGUUGUAGGUGCUAGAGAUGUUAUAUUUCAGGUUUGUCUACUCAGUUUUCUUUUUCUGGGUCACUUUGCAUCUUUAUUGCUGGGCUUCGUAAAAGACUAAUAAUAAUCCGCUUCAUCUGUAUAGUGCUUUACAGCUUACAGAGCACUUUUACAAAAAUUAUCUCAUGUGAUCCUCCCACAUAAACCUCAGUUAAGCACAUGGCGUGGGAAGCAUCAUGGCUGAGUGCAAAGAACCUGGACCAUGAAUACAGAUCAACUUGGGUACCCAUUUUAUAGCUGAAGAAGCUGAGCUUCUAAGUGUUUAGGGUCACAAACAGUUAUUCUUCUUACUAUUACCUGUAAGUAGUAAGCCAGUGUUCCUUUCACAGGUUUAUGGACUAUCUGAGAAACAGCAUGCUAAAUACACAAAGUAUGCUUCCGAGACUUACAGAAAGUGUACAACCCCAGAACCCAAUCAUAUUCAGGUUCCCCCAAAGGAUGUGAGGAUAAGAAUCUCUCAGUUCUCUGUGAAUUAUUAGUAAUUAGAUAAUACCACAAGUGUUUAAUUGUUCACAAUUAAUUCCUGUGGGAAUGGGGAAAUUACUCUCCUUAUAUCAGCAGCGAGAGAUGCUUAGACCAAGGACAGAUUCUAUUUGGUUUUAUUUUAUUUGAUCCUCAGAAUUUUAUUUCUUGGAUUAUUGUCGAUGUCCAGUGAAUAACUCUCCCUCCAACCUCAGUUAGCCAUUCCCUUUGCUGCAUACAUACACCUUCAGGAUAUUUUUAAUUUUAAAAGUAUGUAAUUAGAGUAUUUUAUAUACUCUCUAAAGGAACAACAGCACAGCAAAGUUACUUUUUUACUGCAUGUGGCUGCUAGAUCUGGAGGGCAAUUCAUGGUAUCAACAAGAUUCCCCAGCUCUGACUUAGAGAAUGUGGGCUCUGAUAAGAUGGAGUCUCACUCUUGCCCAGGCUGGAGUGCAGUGGCAUGCUCUUGGCUCAUGGAAACCUCUGCCUCCCACGUUCAAGUGAUUCUCAUGCUUCAGCCUCCCCAGUAGCUGGGAUAACAGAAAAUCCCCCUGAGAAGAAGGCAGACCUUCCCUCCAGGGAGGUCAAGGAGGAUUGCACUGAUUCACUUCAUGCAAACAGCUUCCUGGGGAGGGAGCUUUUGCUCUCCCUGCUGUGUGGAGAGAUUGAGGAGCCUCCAAGGCUUGGCAGCAGUGGCAGAAACUGACAGUCCAAGAUGAACAAGAAAAACAAUUUACACCCUUUAAAAAACUUGAAUGAAAGUUUAAGUAUGUUAAAGAAAGAGCUGACAAGCAUAGCAGGACAGCCAUCCCCUGAGAGAUAGGAGAGGAGGAGAAACAGCUCAGCAGGGGCCUGGAGCAGCUGGCUGGCGUCAGUAAUUUCCUGCAGGAGACUCUGCCGGCCGAGGACACAUCACCCUUCUGUUGCUCCUCUGUGUUCUCCCUUGUGCUACUAAAAUAAGCUAAUGUAACUCUUGGGCUGUGCUAAGCUAAAUGCAGUUAUUUAACCUCAUCUCUAUGGAACCCAGGUCUAAAGCAGCAGCAUCUAUUUGGAACAAGAUGGGGAGGAGGUAAGCCCCAAACAUUCCUGAGCAGCAGGAAAACAAAUUACCAAGUUUCUCUUUCUGCACAGAAGAGCCGUCUGGGUCCUUGCUGGAGACCACUGACUUUUACUUAACACGUAGGUCUAGCUUGGUGAACUGCUUUCUGACACCUGAACAGAUCGGAAGCAGGGAAUUGAAGGUGAGGAAAGACUGCCACAAGCAGGAGCCAAGAGUUAAGAGCCAAACCAAGGUAGUGACAUUCAUGGGGACAACUGUGGGUGGGAAUCCUACCCAAAGGGGGAUGUUGGAUGAAUUGCUCCUAAGGCUCCUUCCAACUUUUCAGUUCAUGGCUCUGAGUGUCCCUGGUUUGACUGUGAUGGUGAAGGCAGAGAAGAGGGAGAGGGAAACCUCUGUGGGGAGCUGGUACCCAGCAGGAAGUGUGGCUCUCUGUGUUUGGAGAAGGCCCUGAGUUUUAGUGCUCAGGAGUACUUGCCUGCUUUUGCUGGAGUCCUCUGGGCUAAAUAUGUGCUCUCGACCUCCACUUUUUUUUUUGGCCAGCAAGAGCGAAUUCGUGCUCUUCGUCAUGAAGGUGGAUGUUUCUGGAAGAAAUUUUGUGAUGUCCUUUGCAGAGACAUGGAUGGAGUUGGAAGUCCUUAUCCUCAGCAAACGAAUGCAGGAACAGAAAACCAAACACUGCAUGUCCUUACUUAUUAGUGGGAGCUGAAUGAUGAGAACACAUGGAUACUUGUGGGGAAAGCACACACACUGGGGCCUAUCGGACCUGUGGGGUUGUGGGGAAGGGGAGAGACUCAGGAAGAAUGGCUAAUGGAUGCUGGGCUUAGUAUCUAGGUGAUGGGAUGAUCUGUGCAGCAAACCACCAUGGCAGAUGUUUACCUGUGUAACAUACCUGGACAUCAUGCACAUGCAUCCCGGAACUUAAAAUAAAAGUUGAAGAAAAAAAAGAAAAUGUUUUGUGAAGUCUGGAGGUGUAACGUACAGACAUGGGCUAGGGUGAGACAGGCCCAUGUUCAGAUCCUUGCUUCCUCAGUAAGCUAGUGGGGAGACUGGUGAAAUCACUGAACCUCAGUUUCUCCACCUGGACAUCUGCCAUAGAAAUGGCACAUCAUGUGUCGUCCUGGCUGUGACCUUCGGUAGCUCAUCACUGCCCUUCUUACUGUUCUCAGGGUAAACUCCUUUCCAGGCAGAAUUGCCAAGACGCCCGGUAAAAUUUGAAUUUCAGAUAAACACUGAAUAAUUUUUUAGUAUAAUGAUGCUCCAAAUAUUGCAUGGGAUAUACUUAACACUAAAAAAAAAUUAUUGUUUAUCUGAAAUUCAGAUUUAAGUGGGCAACCUGCAUUUUAAAAUAAACCUUUAAUUUUAGAAUCAUUUUAGAUUUACAGAAAAAAUUAUAAAGAUAGUACAGAGUUACCACACACCCCACACCCCGUUUCUCCUGUAACUAAUAUCUUACAUCAAGCCAGGUACAGUGGCACAUGUUUGUAAUCCCAGAUUCUCAGGAGGCUGAAGUGGGAGGAUCACUGGAGUCCAGGAGUUCGAGGCUGCAGUGAGUCGUGAUGGUGCCACUGCACUCCAGCCUGAGUGACAGAGUAAGAUGCUGUCUCUUAAAAAGAAAAAAAAUCUUAUGUCAGUAUGAUACAUUUGUCACAAUUAAUGAACUAAGAUUGAUAUAUUAUCAUUUACUAAAGUCCAUACUUCAUUAGAUUUUCUUAGUUUUUUCCUAAUGUCCUUUUCUAUUCCAGGAUCCUGGGCAGGACACUGUAUCACAUAUAGUUGUCAAGUCUCCUUAGCUCCUCUUGGCUGUGACAGUGUCUUAGACUUCCCUUGUUUUUGAUGACCUUGACAGUUUUGAGGCACACUGGUCGAGGGUUUUGUAGAAUCCUCCUUAGUUUGGCCUGUCGGAUGUUUUCCUCAUGAUUAGACUGGGGUAAUGUGUUUUUGGGAGGAAGACCACAGAGGUCAAGAGCCAUUCUCAUCACAUCUUAUUAAGGAUCUGUACUGUCCAUAUGACUUAUCACUGUUGAUGUUGACCUUGAUCACCUGGCUAAGGUAGUGUUCAUCAGGUUUAGCAACUGUGUUUUCAUUUGCUGAAUCUAUACUCAAUUCCAGCCCUGUCAGUCUUUCCUGACCAGACCCUCACUUACUGCUGCAGACAUUUUUCUGUUCCAACCAUAGUGAACUGCUAACAAUUUCCCUAAUGAACUACACUCUGUCUCUCUUACUGCCAGGCCUUAGGGCUUGUUCUUUCCUUUGCCUGGAAUAUUCUACUCCCCCACAACCUCCCAUCCACACCUCCCCUUCAUCUGAUUAACUCACUUUUCAGUUGGGCUUCAGUCUCACUCCCUCCAGGAAGAUUUCCAUUUAGGUCUCACUCCUUCUGGGAAGAUUUCUUGCACCCUACUCUGCCAAGACCAGGUUAGGUGUUGCUUCUCUGCCCUGGUCCUACUCUUGUGAUAUUUACCACCCUGUAGUUAUGAUCUGUUUGCUUCUCUCCCUGACCCCAGUGCAUUCCUGACAUCUUACACAGUGCCUGUUUGAACUCAAUAAAUACUUGCUGAAUAAAUAAAUGGUUAUAUCAGGCACUUCAGGUAAAGCCUUUAACACACUAUCAGCCUUGUAAACAGUGGCUGCUCAGUAAAUGCUUGCUUUUACUGUAGGAAAAAUAAUCUUCCCUAGAUGUGAGCAACUGUAUUAAGUUUGUGCCUGCCCGACACCCGCAGCACAUGCCCCUAGCUGAAGAAGAGAUUCUGAAACAAUGGUCUCCUAGGAUUUCCUGAGAGCCACAGUUAACUGCAUCAAAGUAUCAAUGAGGCCACUUAAUGACAGAGAUGUUGUUGGGCUAAGUAGGCUACUUUCAUUCAGUUUGCAGAUUAAAAAGGUAUCUUUCUCCCAGUGGAGAAACUUUGAAUUACGAACCCCUUGGCCCAGAUUUCCAUAGUUGGGCAUCCUGACCCAUUGUUUUUUAGUGGAAAGGACAAAGGGAUCCAUCCCCUUCUCUUUUUGCUGCCCAUGUACUGACUUGUAAAUGACUUGUGUGCCUAUUGUUGCUUGUCCUUGAUGAUGAGUACACUUAUACGUUGAUGUAUUUAUUAGUGUUUUUCUUUUCACAAAUCCAGUGUAGUUGUGACCCCCACCCCUGAGACCCAAAGGAAGCAGACACCUCAUAGGUGGUCUCAGGAAUCUGUGUUGAACUUUAGGAGUAAUUAUAAUGUCUUUCAUUUCUUAAUACUUCAUGCCAGGUAUUUUAUCUACCUCACCUCUAAUCCUCUCAAUAACCUUGCAUGUUAGGAAUUACUCCCAUAUUCCAAAUGAGAAAGCUAAGGUUUAGGGUGCUUAAGAAAUUUUCCCAAAGUUUUUUUUUUUUGGUGGUGGAGCCAGCUUGAAGCUAGGGCUAUAGACUUCAGAGUCUCAGCUCCAUCCUCUCCAUUGUUCAGAAAGUCCUGUAAGAGACAGCCAGCAUCUCCCAAGGGCUCGUGCUCAUUGGAAUGGUUCUUGGGUACAUUCCUCCCUUUGUACCUCACUAGGGAAGACCUCCAUCGGUUGGUGUUUACCCACCUUCUAGAGCCUCCUUCCUGGACUCUCGAUCUCGGAUUCCCCACCCAUAGCACUCUUAGACUGCCAUCGUCCAACUUAGGACUCCAAGAAUGCCCAUUUUCAGCCUUGGAAAUCCUUUGCCUUGCUUCCAGGACCCUAUAGUCUAUUUCUUUCCCAAGCCUUCUCUCCAUGAAUCAGAUUCCUCCUUCCCCAUGAGACUUACACUGACUAGUCCCCUACCCACCUCCCUCUCCUUGGAUCUUCAUGGCACCUAGGUAUGCAAGGCAUAAAGUAGUGUAGAAUGCCCUUCUGGCCUAUGUGGAACCAAAGUAUGGUCCCCUGGGUUUCUAAUAUGGUUUCUCCAUCUGGAUUGACACCUCCUGAACGACAAAAACCUCUUGUUAAAAAAGUUGACUUUAUUGAGGUAUAACAUACAUACACCAAAGUACACCUGUUUAAGUGUUCGGUUUGAUAAGGUUUGACAAACGUAUACACCCAUGUAACCACUGUCACAACCAAGAUCUGGAACAUUUCUAUCACCCCAGAAAUACCUCUGAGCUCCUUUGUACUCAACCCCUCCACCUUCGACCCAGGCAACCACUUGCUGGAUUUCUAUUGCUGUAAUUAGUUUUGCCGGCUCUUGAACUACACAAAAAUGCAGUCACAAAGAGUGUAGUCUUUUGUGUUGGCCUCUUUUGGUUAGCACGAUGUUUUAGAGAUUCCUCCAUACUGUUUAUUUUUUUGUUGUUAUUGCUGAGUUGUUCUCUGGUAGAGCCUAUACUACAACUUGAUUGUCCAUGUUGACUAAAUUUCGGGCUGUUUCACAUUUUUGGCUAUAAUGAAUAAAGUGGCUAUAAAUGUUUACACACAAAUCUUUUGUGAACGUGUUUCAUUUCUCUUGUUUGCAUACUUCAGAGUGAAACUUUUAGGUCAUAUAGCAAAUAUAUGUUCAACUUUGACACUGCCAAACUGUUUCCAAAGUGGUAAUUCCAUGUCACACCCCUAUUAGCUGUGUACAAAAGUUCCAGCUUUUUCAUAUGCUCACCAACUCUCAAUGCUUUCAGUGUUUUAAAUUUUAGUGGGUAUGUAGUUGCAUCUCAUUAUGGUUUUACUUUGCAUUUCCCUGGUGAUCAAAGACGUUGAACAUCUUUUAAGGUGCUCAUUGGCCACUCAUAUCUUUUCUUUUCAAGGUGUCUGCUGAAAAACUUACCUGUUUAAAAUUUUCAAUUUGUCUUUUUAAUUAUUGCAUUAUGGGUUCUUUUUAUAUUUGUAUACACUUCCUACUAGAUAAACGUACUGUGAGUAUUUUCUUCUGGACUGUGGAUUGUCUUUUCACUUGUCUUUUGAAGUCAAGAGGUUUUAAAUUUUGAUGAAAUCCAAUUAAUCAACUUUAAUCAUUUUUCAAUUUAUGGUUAGUGUGUUUUCUGUCAUGUCUGUAAAAUCUUUGUCUGCCCCAAGAUUGUGAAGAUUUUCUCCUAAGAAACUUUAUGUUUGUUUUUUACAUUUAGUUCAGCAUAUCGCCUAUUUGCUGAAUGUUCCAUGUAUACUUGAAAAGAAUAAUAAUCGAUUGUACAUUUCAAAAUAGCUAAAAGAGAAUAAUUAGAAUAUUCUUAAUAUAAGGAAAAGAUAAACAUUGAAGUUAGUGUAUAUCCCAAUUAUCCUGUUUGAUCUUUAUAUAUUAUAUGGGUGUACCAUAUUACCACAUAUACCCUAAAAAUAUGUAGAUCUAUUAUAUAUCAAGUUUUAAAAAGAAUAUGUAUUUUGUACCUGGUGAAUGAAUAUUGUUUAAGUCAGGUUGGUUGACAGUGAUGUUCAAGCCAUCUAUAUUUUUAUUAAUUUUCUGUCUACUUGUCCUAUAAAUUAUUGCAAAGAGUGUUGGAAAAACUUUAAAUUUAUCUGUUUGCUCUUUAAUUUAUGUUCAUUUGUGUUUCAUGUAUUUUGAAGCUGUUAUUAGGCCAAUACCUAUUUUGGUUUGUUCUAUCUUUUUGCCUUGACCUGUUUAUCACUAUGAAAUGUCUGCCUUUAUCUCUGGUAAUAUUCCUUGCCUUGAAGUCUAUUUUGAUAUGAAUAUAGCUUUUCAAGCUAUAUUGUGUGUACAGUGUAUCAUUCCCCCAUACUUUUACUUUUAAACUAUGUUUGUAUAUAUAAUAUUAGUUUUUUGAAGAAUAUAGCUGGGUCUU